CCUGCCUCAGCCCUAAGCAGAGCAAAGUGAUUGGUCAGUGGUUCAAAGCCAAUCACAGUAAUCCUCUCCCCUUUGCUUGUGAUUGGUUUGCGAGUAGGCCUGUCAUCCAGUUCUAUUAAUAGCUAAUGGGACCUAAGAGACAUCUACUAGAGGCUUCCGGGAAAGCCUUCCCAAGCCACACAGGAGAAAAAUCUCCCAGCUCUCCUUCCCUUCCUCUGUUCUGGACACAGGCUGGUGAUGCUGGAGCCACAACAACCACCGGAAACCCCAAGGCGAAGACCAGAGAAUCCCAGAGAUGCAGACAGAGACUUCCUAGAGCUACAGAGUAAGCCAAAUUGGAGUUGCCUUUUCUGGACGUCUUGUUAAGUCUGAUGGGGUUCAUCACAUCUGAGCCAGGACUGGCUUUUCUUGGCUGCAAGCUGAAAGUUGGGUCCAGGUCUGCUGUACUGAGGGUCUCCUAUCUUCCUUGGACAGGGACAACCAGAGGCCUAUUUAUCUCAUGAUGGAAGGCAGGAGAACAAGCAGGCAAGACCAGCUGUGCUAGCACAUGCCACCUCUUUGCCCACGUCACACCUGCUGACGUCCCAUUGGCCAAUGCAAGUCACACAACCAAAGCCAACAUCAACAGGACAAGGAAACAGACUCUGCCUCUAGAUGCACAAACUACAGAGUCACGGACAGAGGACACGGAUCCAGGGAAGGAAGAUGGAGAAUGAGAACAAUGACCCUCAAUAACACAGCCUCCCACAGAUAAGAACCAAACGACAUCCGGCCUUUGCGUUCUCUCCACCAGCUCCCGGCUCACCCACCCAGCAGCUCAGCACCUGCGAAAUCCGUCUCCCGAUGCACACUUGCUAACCGCGUGGGUGUGAGCACAACGAUGGGAAACAGCGGAAGUCCCCGGAGUGCAGACUCAGGAGUGAACCUGCCUGAAGAGUGGCGUCUAACGCACACACUGUGGUCAGCUCCACCCCACUAUGGGUCCCGGGAAUAGGAGCAAGUAUGUAUUUUGCUUGCAGGGCAGGUGUUUCAUCCACAUUAUUGCAGGAACAGAUGAAUUUAAUUAAAAGAACACCACAGUGGGCACCUCUUCCAGGGAUGCCUCCCUCUAAGAACAUGACACUGAGAUGAUCAAGGUUCUAAAAGGGCGAUCAAAUCACUCUCCGAAAAUGAAACUGCUCAGACAGAAUGACAAUUAAAUUAAUAACAACCAAGACAAUGCCCAGAUUUCAUCUCCGCUCACAGCCCCUCCUGUGUGCUGUAUGAUCAGGUUCUUGGGGGUGGCUCCAGAUACAGCAAAC
rnacentral:lncRNA from 10 species